rnacentral:antisense_RNA from 1 species
UAUGACCAAUAAACCGAAAUGGCAUUGGUAAUUUUUCAUACACCUCACUUACAGGAGCCCAAGUAUUAUAUACAAACCCAAAAUAAAGAGCCUUAAAUACUACAAGAAAAGCCCCUAUACGGCUAUGCCGAACAAGACUAUAUGACCAAUAUUGUGAUCAUUUUAUUUCUCAAUUUCCA